rnacentral:misc_RNA from 1 species
GCUAAAAAAUAUAUUAUAUGAUAUAUUAUAUAUUAAUAACUAACUUUAAAGUUUAAAUGGUAAUUUAAAUAUGACUUUUUAUGAAAAUAAUUGUAUAAAAUUAUUUGAAGAACUGAGAAUCGAACUGGAACUGAAGAAUUGAGAACCUUGUCGAACCAGAGCUGAAGCAACAAAGAACCAAACUGAAUCGUAUCGAAAACAAUGAAGAAUUGAAUUGGAAUCAUACCAAAAUUUCAUUUUGGUUCCUAGGUAGAUCCGGAAUUGGAAUUGCAUACUCUUAAUAGGAACCAUAGACAACCUCCUAGGCAUGAUUAUGAUGAACGCGUUGAUAUCACUAGGAAUGUCAAAAUCAAUAGUUUGAUGAAAGAUUGAAUCUUAAUGCUUUAAUUGAAUGGAUGAGAAUGAGAAGGAGGAUUAUUGUGGUUAUUAUGAUAUGUUUGAUUUGGACUAUGCUUGUUUUGUCAAAAUGAAGUGUGAUUGGGGCUGUUAAGAAAUAUUGGCAAACUGUUCAGCACAAUUUGGAGCAUUUAAGUGAACCACCUAUUACAAAUGGCCGGUCAUGAAACACAAAUUGAAAGAGAAAUGUUUGUUCACCUAAAGUCAUUUAUUAAACUAUGAUAAAUUUUGAAUAAUUGACUCAUUCUAGUGUGACUGAUUACAUGUAAAAAUUUGAUAAACUUUUGCUUGGAUGUGUUGCUUUAUAAAACCUUUUUAUUAUACUUAACAUGUUUAUUAACGGUUGAGAAUAGGGAAAUUAUGCUUCUAAGAAAACAGAGAAUGCCUAUAAAAGGCUUUAGAGAUAGAAGUAUAUAACAAAUUGUCAUCUUCUAAUCAUGUAGCUUCAUAUUUUAUAGGGUUAUAUCACUCUAAAU